UGUGACGUUAGUCAUUUUAUUAUUAUGGAGGUUUAGUGUUUGAACAGUUGUGACGGGUCAUUUUAAAAUUGAUUCAUUUUCCGGUCGUUUAAAUGUGUACAUUAUUUAACCUCUACCGAAAUCAAAGAUGGACACUAGUUUAUUUUUGUUGACAACGCUGAUUUUUAUAGAGGUUAUAGCAUUAUUACCUGUUACUUCAGAGCAAAUUGAGAUCAGGGAAGGCAGAACCAAAGUAUUACAAUGUCCUCCAGGAAAAGUUAUUAUUAUUGAAUACGCUUCCUAUGAAGGAGAUGCUUUCUUCUGUAAAAUAAAUGAAGUGACCUUGCAUGUCAAAGGUCGUUGUCAAUGGAAACGUAAUUGCACAUUGUAUGCUUACGAUAGUAUUUUUGGAGAUUCAUGUACCGGACCCGAUGAGAGUUUGUUUAUAAGAUACACAUGUUACGAGGAUUGUUAUUACCGGAUAGAUGGUAAAGCGUUUUACAACGGAACUAGAAGUAUAACAGGAAGUGGUAUAACCUGUCAGAGAUGGGAAAGCAACUAUCCACAUGUCCCGAAACAAUGGCCGACUGGAAGAGGGAAUAAAAACUACUGUAGGAACCCGGAUGAAGACGACAGACCUUGGUGUUACACUACUGACCCCGAUUUAAGAUGGGAAUACUGUGAAAUUGAGUUGUGUGAAUUAACAACGAUUCGGACUUCCACACCAAAGUUGAUUGCGACAGAAGAUGACGUCAUUGACGAGGAUGAUGACACUCCAGUUGCUGUCAUCCUGGGAAUAUUAUUUGGCGUGUUAGUGACUUCAAUCGUACUAGUGACUGUAAUUUUAAUACUAAAAAGACGUGGAGUAUUUAAUUCAGAACCAAGUACAGCAGACCAAAGAAUAUCUUAUAUAUAUGCUGCGCCUGAGCAUAACAACACAUUACUUGCACGUGUUCGCAAAAUUAUCCGAUGGAAUAGAAAAAGUGAUGGUGAGACCAACAUUAUCGCAACCAACCCUGGAUAUUCUGCUAUGGAAGGGGAGAGAAUCGAACCGAUAGAUUAUGCAAACAUGCCGAUGGUAAAACCGCGCGUUUACGAGAUGCCUAAUUCUUCUGAGUCACGUGAUGAACAAAAACAGACGUAUACAAGUCUGUAUGAUACUCCUAAUGGCAGUAAUCAAAAUCAGAUAGCUGCGUCCGAUGAUUUAUAUGAGAAUGAAUAUGAAAUCGCUGAACGUUGUGAAGAACCACCGAAACCAAAAGCUGCAAUAAAACCAAUUUUGAGAAAGCCUAAACCAUCGCCCAAACCUUCACCAAAAAUAAUCAAGCCUGAAAAUGGAACUAUCGAUAAGCCAUUACCAAAACCAAUCAAGAAAGACACUGAGUCGACGUAUAUAAUGCAAUCAAAUAAGACGUUUCAACAGACCAAUAGUCAUGACAAAUCAAGGCAUAUAGAAGUUUUGAACAAACCAUUAUCGAAACAAGAUGAAUGUGAAAAUGAAACUAUAGGACUGGAUGCAAAAGAUAAUCCACUUUAUUCAACACAAAUUGUUUCUGCUCAAAACAAUGAAGUUCCCAGCGAUGAUAGUAAAAAUAUAUCAGAGGAAAAUGACAAAUCUCAGUCCUCUAUCACAUGUAAACAAUCGAGUUCAUCUGCCAGUCUAUCUCCGGAUACAAUGCAACAGUCAAAUUCGGUUUUAAAUCUUGUGCAAAAAUUCAACAAGACAUAGUAGUAGAUGAAACUAUAAUUUAAACAAAUCCGAAAUCAGUCAAAUUAAAGUAGAAAUGGAGCUUUAAAAGAACAAUCAAAUGUACACAGGAAAUGGAGCUUUAAAAGAGCCAUGCAAACGUACACUGGAAAUGGAGCUUUAAAAGAACCAGUCAAACGUACACUGGAAAUGGAGCUUUAAAAGAACCAGUCAAACUUACACUGAAAAUGGAGCUUUAAAAGAACCAGUAAAACGUACACUGGAAAUGACGCUUUAAAAGAACCAGUCAAACGUACACUGGAAAUGGAGCUUUAAAAGAGCCAUGCAAACGUACACUGGAAAUGGAGCUUUUAAAGAACCAGUCAAACGUACACUGGAAAUGGAGCUUUACAAGAACCAGUCAAACGUACACAAGAAAUGGAGCUUUAAAAGAACCAGUCAAACGUACACUAGAAAUGACGCUUUAAAAGAACCAGUCAAACGUACACUGGAAAUGGAGCUUUAAAAGAACCAGUCAAACGUACACUGGAAAUGGAGCUUUAAAAGAACCAGUCAAACGUACACUGGAAAUGGAGCUUUAAAAAAACCAGUCAAACGUACACUGGAAAUGGAGCUUUGAAGAAAGUGGAGUGUUAAUUUGUUGACAUGUUUUAUUGCUUAUUGCCAAAUAGGGACGAGAGUAUAAAUUUGUUGACAUGUUUUAUUGCUUCCUGCCAAAUAGGGACUGGAAUAUUAUUUGGAAGGAGACUGUUUAGCUUUUCUAUUAAUCCUCUAAAGUAGUUCAAUAAAAAUGUUUAUUCCAUAUUAAUAGAACUUUAGUAGAUUUUUCUAUAUGAAUGGGAUUUUGAAUAAAUAAGCAUAUUCACCUGCGGAAAAAGUAUAUUCACCGCGCAAAACGUCGCGUGCUUUUACGUGUAUAAUAACGAUACAAUGUUUGACGUUUAGUUGGUUUUGGUAAAUAACUGUUAUUUUAUACAUAUUUUUCUCGCUCGGAACAUGGAAUAAAACAAUUACUGUCUUUUGUUUCGGUAAAUAUGUGGUUUAAUUGACUUUUGAAAAACCUAGUGACAUUCACUUCGGCCGAUGGCCUCAGUGAAUUUCAGUUUUUCAAAAGUCAAUAAAACCACACAUUUACCUCAUCAAAAGUCAGUAAUUGUAUAGUAUUUAACUUCUGAUUUCCCGUAGUAAAUAGUUUUUACGUGAUUCAAAAAGGAAUAGGCAACAUAUGAUCGUGAUUCGUUAAAGACAGAGAAAACAUCCAUGCAAUAUAAUAUUUAUCGAAAGGAGGUGAAGUGUAGUUUCUGCUACUACAUGUUUUGUCUCUUAUAAGAAUUUGAUAUGCCGUUUUUUGUGAUAUUUAUACCUAUUUCAUCCCCAUUUUUUCCAGAAUUUGCACUUUGCACCGGAAAUUGUAUAAAAGAUAUUAAUAUCAUAUCAUUAACUAUAAACAUGAAUCUCGUCAUGUGUCGCAUUAAUAUGUGGCAAUCAAUGAAAUACCCAGGCAAACGACAUAUGGCUUCCACGAAGAUUUUCAUCCAUACGAAUGACAGUACGAGAGGGCAGCACAAAGGAACUAUGGUGUAAUGGAGAAAUGGUGUUAGAUAUAUAUUUUGCUAAGUAUGAAGGUAGGGCUAUAUACUGUGGUAGAAAUGAAGUGACAACAAGUGUACAACAGCAAUGUAACGGACUAACAAGCUGCCAAGUCUCAGCCAAAGAUGAAAUUUAUGAUGAUUCUUGUGCAUUCUCUAAUGAAGUACUAACCAUCAGAUACGGAUGUGUGGAUUCAACAUUAUCUACUAGAACCCAGGACACUACCGGAUCAACGACCGAUCAUAAUAGAUGGCAUUCCUCUACUACAGAAAACGACAGAAGACUAUCGACGGUCACUGACGAUACCUCAUUGGAGAACACAACAUCUAUAGAACCACGUGAAUCCGCACUGACCAAUAAUCACACACGUGAGACCAUUACCAUAGCAACAUUAAUUGGUGGAUGCAUAUUUGGAUUAUUAUUGAUUGCUGUCAUUACAAUAACGAUAUUUCGACAUUUUAGAGAAACCAAAGACAUUGAUGCCGGUGACAAUGUAGAAAUACUACAUAUUAAUGCACUUUCCGGUUCUGAAUUAGAUCAUCAUGAUCACGGAAGCGAUCGUAUUGAUUAUGUUGCCGAAACACAUCUUACCAACAGAGAUAUUCUAAGUAACAACAGCUCAACCUUGCUUUCAAUGGCAUAUAAAAACAAUAGUUACACGUUGGAACCCACAGCUGUACGGAAUGUUUCAAAAACUUUAAAAAGUAGAAAUUUGACAGAAGAUACAAGAUGUAAAUAUACCGAUGAUUCUGAAUAUAGUGUCAUACAAAAUUACUCAGGAGACAUUUUACCGCCAUCUUAUGACGUUUUACGAGAAUGUAGUUCACCAACAUGUCUGGCUGAUUGUGCCAAUAAAUAUAACCACGCCAACUACAAUGGAAAUUCAUAUGACAAAACAAAUAGAUCGACACCAAUAAAAUGGUCAGGUGACCACAACGACGGCUACAGUACAGCAGCAACAUUUCUUCUGGAAUCGGACCAAUGUAGUCCUGAUAAUGAUAGCUCUGAACAUGUGUACGAAAAUCAACAGAUAAAUUACAAAGACAAUAAAUCAUUAAACCACCAUAAGACAAGCAGACAAUUUGGUGCCGAUUAUUUGUCAGCUGAAAAGGAGGGUAUGAAUACGCCUACGAAAAAGUGUAAUCCUUAUGACAAUAUGAACUUUACAAAAUCUUCUCGGGCAGCAAAAACGUCUAAAAAGAAAAUACCAAAUUAUCAAAAUAUUGGAGACAAUUUCUCUCCAACAGCAAACUAUAUCAAUGUCAGUGAAAGCCUAUCGAUGGAAAAUCAAGCAGAAGAUCCUAAUAGUCAUUAUUCUUCACCAAUUAACAGGGCAUCUAGCAGUCAGAACGUGCAGAAUUCAGAACAAAAUAAUAAUGGACAAUCUCAGUGUUAUAUGCCCAUGAAUUUUGGAAUCUCGAAGAAAAAGACAGAUUUUGUAGAAAGUGACAAUGUUUAUGUACCAAUCAUGUCCCCAACGACUUUAGUAUCACCGUCCGAUGUUUUUGAUGACACUUAUCAAUUCUAAUUUUACGGAAACACUUCAUAGGUUUAAAUUAGUAGUCGGAUAUCAAACAAUUAGUUAGUAGGUCAGGUUAAAGUGGUCACUUUCCGGACAAGCUACAUGAUUAUUAAUUAACUGAGACGUACAUCUAUUUCCUAGGGGAAAAUGAGUCAUGUUUACGCCGAUUUAAGCAUUCAUAUCAUUAACGCAGAAAAUGGAAAACAAAUAGAAUUAACACAUUUUGUCUUGAACGGUAACAUUUUAUGCACAUUGCAAUUAAAAAAUAAAGAUAGCUGUUAA